UCUCGGUUAGUAUAGUGGUUAGUAUGCGGCCUUGUCACGGCCGAGACCGGGGUUCAAUUCCCCGACCGAGAG